rnacentral:ncRNA from 2 species
UGCGCGCAACUUGCAAUGAGUUCAAGCUACGGCUUUAGGGAAGUUGAUGCGAAUCCAACACUGCCCUCGCAACGGUAAAAAUGAAACGUAUAUCGCUUUAAAUCUUUAGAUUUACGCCACUGCACCACGGUGUGGGAAGGCGGAUAUACCAAUGUUGAAGCCAUCUAUGCUGCAACAUUUAUAUUUAAGUCCGGAUACCUGCUUAUUGUGUUCUUUAACU